AUACGUAGGUGGCAAGCGUUGUCCGGAUUUACUGGGUGUAAAGGGCGUGUAGCCGGGCCGACAAGUCAGAUGUGAAAUCCGCGGGCUUAACCCGCGAACUGCAUUUGAAACUGUUGGUCUUGAGUAUCGGAGAGGUAAUCGGAAUUCCUAGUGUAGCGGUGAGAUGCGUAGAUAUUAGGAAGAACACCAGUGGCGAAGGCGGAUUACUGGACGACAACUGACGGUGAGGCGCGAAAGCGUGGGGAGC
rnacentral:rRNA from 1 species